rnacentral:lncRNA from 1 species
CCUUCCCCUUUCCUUUCUCCUUCCCCUUUUCCCCUUCCCUCUUCCCCUUUCUCCUUUCCUUCUCAUUUUCCCCUUCCCUUUUCCCCUUUCCCUUUCCUUUUCCCCUUCCACUUUUCCCCUUCCCCCUUCUUUCCCUUCCUCUUUUCCCCUUCUCCUUUUCUUUUCCCCCUUCCCUUUUCCCCUUCCUUUUCCCCUUUCCCCUCUCCCCUUAUCUUUUCCCCUUUCCUUUACCCUUCCCCCUUUUCCUUCCCCUUUUCCUUUUCCCCUUUCUGUCUCCCCUUUCCCUUUCCCUGUUCCCUUUCCCUUCCCCGUUCCCCUUUCCCUUUUCCCCUUCUUUUCCCUUCCCCUUUCCUUUUCCUCUUCCCUUUUCCCAUCUCCCCUUUCCCCUCUCCUCCUUUUCCCUUCCCCUUUUCCCCUUUUAUUUUUCCCUUUCCCCUUCCACUUUUCCCCUUCCCCUCUUCCCCCUUCCCCUUUCCUUUCCCCUUUCCCUUCUCCUUCCCCUUUUUCCCCUUCCCUCUUCCCCUUUCUCCUUUCGUUCUCAUUUUCCCCUUCCCUUUUCCCCUUUCCCUUUCCCUUUCCCCGUUUCCCUUUCCCUUUCCCUUCCCCUUUCCCCUUUCCCUUUCCCUUUUCUUCUUUCCCCUUCCCCUUUCCUUUUCCUCUUCCCUUUUCCCAUCUCCCCUUUCCCCUCUCCUCCUUUUCCCCUUUUAUUUUUCCCUUUCCCCUUUUCCGCUUUUCCCAUUCCCCUCUUCCCCCUUCCCCUUUCCUUUCCCCUUUCCCUUCCCUCUUCCCCUUUUCCCCUUCCCUCUUCCCCUUUCUCCUUUCCUUCUCAUUUUCCCCUUCCCUUUUCCCCUUUCCCUUUCCCUUUCCUUUUCCCCUUCCACUUUUCCCCUUCCCCCUUCUUUCCCUUCCCCUUUUCCCCUUCUCCUUUUCUCUUCCCCCUUCCCUUUUCCCCUUUUCCCCUCUCCCUUUUCCCCUUCCCUUUCCCUUUCCCCUUUCCCUUUCCCCUUUCCCCCUUUCCCUUUCCUUUUCCUGUUGGAGAUUUUUUCAGGGAUGGCUUGGAGGGCAGCUGUGAGGAGCAGGUUCUCACAGCCUGCUUCUGUGAACGGCAGAGGUUCUCAGGUUAUUUUUAAUUACAAGUAAAGGUGACAA